UUCAACAGGGAAGUGUACUUUGGAUAUGG
rnacentral:piRNA from 1 species